ensembl:ncRNA lncRNA:TS4 long noncoding RNA: testis-specific 4
CACUCACCUGCUGGAAAAGUUUAUUCUCCAUUCAUUUUGAAAAGUGCAAUUUGGAAAUUACAUUUGAAUAAUUGAAACAACAAAUGUUUGGCAGUAGAAAUUUUGACAUUUUAGAGACUAACGAGGUCGCUCAAUUUGAUGAGACAAAGCCGGAUGAAUAAUUCAUGCAAAAAAUAAACUAACUGAGCCCCCAGCCUCUUCACUCAGACCACUCAGUCACAUGUAAGAGCACUUGUUUUUCGGCAGAUCUGGGAUCCCGAGACAUAUGUACGUUUAAUAUAGCACCCAGGAGCAGGACGCAGGACGAUGGAGUCAGGCGCACACAAUGCCCUGGCAUUUUGCUCGCCAGCUGUGGGUAAUUUGUAAACGUCAGAAGGCAAACAUCGAGUCCUGCCGGCUAUUCCCAACUUCAGCUCCAGCUCCUGUUUCUGUUCCUGUUCCGAAGCCAGCCUGCCAUGUCAGAGAUCAGGGCCAACGCCACACGUCCUGAAUGAAUUCGCACGUGUCCGGAAUGAAAGAAGUUGCCGGGCGACUGUUUCAUUUUAAAUACAAUUUAUUGUGCAUGUCGGCUAGAUGAAACUAAACUGAGCCACAUCCCGAGCCGGGCAUAAUCCGCAUUUGCUUCUCUGGCAUUUAAUAUUUAAUGCUGCCCCGAAAUGUGGCAAAAAUGCGAUUAAUAAAAUAGGCCACAGAACAUGUGUCAUACUCGUACAUGUCGCAUGUAUGCGUGUCACUCGCUGAAAACUAUUUCCAUUUCCAAUGCCACCUCCGAUUCCCAUCCCGAUUCCUGGCUGUGGUAGGCUCCUCCAGGACUCCUGGCAGGACUCACGUCUUCGUACGUGUUCGAUUCCAAUAUGGCGCUGUAUUUUCCAUAUUUACCCGGCAUAAAUUCUUAAU